rnacentral:rRNA from 1 species
GACGAACGCUGGCGGCGUGCUUAACACAUGCAAGUCGAACGGUGAAGGGGUCUGCUUUUGUGGGCCCUGGAUGAGUGGCGAACGGGUGAGUAACACGUGAGUAACCUGCCCCCUUCUUCUGGAUAACCGCAUGAAAGUGUGGCUAAUACGGGAUAUUCUGGGUCUGUCGCAUGAUGGGUCUGGGAAAGAUUGCGCCUUUGGGUGUUUUUGGUGGGGGAUGGGCUCGCGGCCUAUCAGCUUGUUGGUGGGUGAUGGCCUACCAAGGCGGUGACGGGUAGCCGGCCUGAGAGGGUGGACGGUCACACUGGGACUGAGACACGGCCCAGACUCCUACGGGAGGCAGCAGUGGGGAAUAUUGCACAAUGGGCGCAAGCCUGAUGCAGCGACGCCGCGUGAGGGAUGGAGGCCUUCGGGUUGUAAACCUCUUUCGCCAGUGAAGCAGGCCUGCUCCUUGUGGGUGGGUUGACGGUAGCUGGAUAAGAAGCGCCGGCUAACUACGUG